UAGAAAAUAAGAAUAGGUUCUUAGAAUCAAAAUUGCAGCCCCAUAUCAUGGCCAAUGCCCAUAUAUGUAGGGAUCACUUACUGCGGUCUACUCAAAUAGACUCUGUUAAAGUAAUGGCUGUUAUGUAUACCGAGGACAGUGAAUGGUCAGGAGAUAUCUGGCUUGAUCCCAGUCCUUCUCGCGAUGAUGAUUCGAAUGACAUGGGAGAAGGAAAUAACAUGAAAGUAGUUGCUCCCAUGAUAAAAAUGGAGCAAACACCAGAUGCACCCCCUCAGACAACUGCGUGAGGUUUUACUUCCUUGGAGUUAACUCAUCUCCAAACUAAGUUUUCAGCUAAAACUGGAGAUACACCCUUAGAAUGGAUGGCCUGUAUAUGGGGAAAAGGAGCAAAUCAUGUUACCCUCACCAUGGAUGACGCUCAAAGCUUUGUAUUAGGACUGGGAAUUCUCCUACAAACCCCUACACCGCAGCAAGCUGACUUGCUGUGGGGCUGCACUGUGUGCCGGGCCAGGGGCGGCUCCCUGCCAGCGAGAGGGGUGGGAAGAGUAAAUGGUUGUGGGAGAGCGCUCAGGAGUUACAAACUGCUAUGCUAAAAUCUGCUAUCUCAGACAUGCUGGAUAGACCAGAGCCUGUAGAUCAGAACAGGCAACCCCCAAAUAUUAACCCUUGGCAAUCCCAUGCCACUCAGGGGGAUAUACAUCCUGUAGUUAAAAGAGCAACUACAGCACUUAAACCGCUUGCUCUUUCUACAAUGACAGGAUUAAAUGCAGAUACUCAGUGGCAGAUGGUUCUGCAGCAGAUGCUGUCUGCUUUACCCUUAUAUGAAAUGUCAGGCUCUAAGGUAAAGAUUAGGACCAUACAAACGGUUAAACCCAGCCACAACACCGCUCACCCUCAAUUCCAAUCAAGAAAUAAAGGCAAAGAUUCUCCAGACGGCCUGUCUAAGGAAUGCAGUCAGUGGUGUCUAGCGAAAAUGCUUAGAUAAAGGGUUAACAAGGCGGCAACUGCAUGGUCUUCCAACUGCAGUGCUAAAACAAUUAGCUGUGCUGGAGUUCCUCCUGCUAUCAGACCCAGUUAAUGAACAAAGCGAUUCAAAUGAAUAGGGGAGCCGGCUCGGUUGUGCUGUCCGGGUCGUGGCUGCCAAGGCAGCUACAGGGAACCAGAGUCCGGAAAUGUUGGUCGCUGUAAAUGAUAAGUAUACCACAACAUUUUUGAUACAGGAGCGCAGGUUUUAAUGAUAGAUCAGGGUACCUAUGAAGGUAAAGCUCCUUUAGAGAAACAAGCAGUUUCAGUAGUAGGCGUUAAUGGUGCAAUUAACACCUAUCCAGUUGUACGGGCUAAAUUAAUAUUGUUCAAUGGACGUACCAUAUGACCCUUGUUGUUAUUGGGCAAAAUGAAUAUUCUGGGAAUGGAUAAUCUGAAAGGAGAGUCUUGGAUAGAUAGCUGGGGUAAAUGGGAAAUUGGUAGUCCUCCAGUUACAGGAAAAACUAAUCUCCAUAUGAUUAAGCCUAUGAAUCUCCUACAAAUAGCCCCACACUUGCCUAACAGCAAACCAGUUAACAUUCCUCAGUAUAAGCUACCUGCCUCUGCCAUAAAACCUGUGACAGAAUUAGUCAAACAAUUAGAGCAACGAGGUAUUAUCGGGGAAAAAAAAAACAUUCACCAUAUAACAGCCUGAUAUGGCUUGUUAAAAAACCAGACGGGACAUGGCGCCUGACUAUUGACUAUAGGGCUUUAAAUAAAGCAACUGGCCCUUUAACAGCUGCUGUUCCUAGCAUAGUAGAUAUAGUUAAUACAAUAAAUGAAUGUGCUUUUCUGCAGAUAGGAGUGUUAUAUAUAAAAGAUAUGUUCUUUAUGAUCCCAAUACAAGAGCAAGACAAACCAAAGUUUGCUUUUACUUGAGGUGGAAUACAAUACACCUUUAAUUGCCUACCCCAAAGUUUUAAACAUAGCCUCACCAUUGCCCAUGCUAUUUUAGCUAAAGAAUUAGAAUCAGUCAUCCUCCCACCUGAAGUAACGAUUUUACAAUAUAUAGAUGAUAUUCUAAUUGGAGGACCAGAUGAGAAAAUGGUCUGCCAAAGUAUGGACACUAUUGUCCAGCACCUACAAGAAUUAAAUAUUAGCAUUCCUGACUCAAAACAGCAAGGACCAAGUCAAGAGGUUAUAUUUUUAGGUAUUCAAUGGAUAGGAGGAUGGAAGACUGCCAGAAUCUGUAUUAACAGAGAUACAAAAUAUUCCGGCACCUUCUGAUAAAAAGGAAUUGUGGACUUUAUUAGGACCUUUAGGGUUUUGGAGGUCACACAUUCCUGGAUUCAGUAUUCUGGCGAGACCUCUGUAUGAUUUGCUGAAUAAAAAUGCGGUAUGGAACUGGGAAUGAAAACAUCACGAAGCAUUAAAUGCUUUAAAAGAUGAAGUUGUUACUUACUAGUCUAUGGGGCUGAUCCACCCUACACACCCAUUUAUGCUGCCUAUAGGCAUAGGUGAUAGGGGAUAUCAAUGGGGACUAUGGCAACAAGAUGUGCAAGGCAAAGAGGAUUCCCCUAUUACCUUUGGCUCUAAAUCAUGGCAAGGCUCUCAAUGGAUCUACACUCCCUUUGAGAAAGCGCUAUUAGCGUCAUAUGAAGGGCUGUUAACUACCAAGCCAUUAACUCAAGAAAGGGAAAUCAAAUUGUGUGUGCCUAUUCCUAUUUUAAAACAAAUUUUAACUGGUAGACCUUUACCCCUAGGGGUAGCACAAAAGACUACAGCGCAGCGAUGGGCUUUGUAUAUACAUCAUCGGGUGACAAGUGAUGGGAUGAAUAAAGAAAACAGAUUAUCCGAGAGUGUAGAGUGAAUUGGGAUGCCUGUGGAGUACUCCCAUCCGCCCUCCUCCCCUAUAACUGACGCCCCUCCCUGGGACAGCGAGACCAAAGCAGGGGUCUGGUUCACAAACGGGAGUGCCCGGCGCAUGGGGAAACAAUGGAGAGGCAAAGCUGUAGCUCUAUCGGUAGAGACCAAAAAAGCUUUCACAGAGGAAAUGGAUGGCUUGGCCCAGCUAGAAGAGCUCAGAGCAGUGGAAAUAGCCCUGGAGCAAGGAGCCACUUGUGUCUAUACAGACUCAUAUGCUGUAUGGGCCGGUGCCACCCAAUGGCUAGGGAAGUGGGUGAAAACCAAUUGGCAAGUAAAUGGUAGGGAUGUAUGGGGAAAAACACACUGGGAAAAGACUUAUUGAUAUAGCUCAAUCUAAGAACAUAUCCAUAGGACAUGUAUCUGCCCACCAAAAACCUAAAAAAACCUGAGGCAAAGUGGAAUCAGAUGGCUGAUCAUUUGGCUAAAAUAAAUGUAUUACAAAAUUCUGAGGCAGAAUGGCUAGGUAAAUGGCUACACAAAUAGCUAGGACACACUGGGAGUUAUGAUUUAUUUCAACAGGCUGCAAGGAGAGGAUGGCCUGUGACAAAAGCUCUGGCAAAGCAAAUUGUAGACUCAUGCCAUUUUUGUCAAACAAUGGUACAGUACAUGUCAAAGGGACAAGUUUGCCAAUCUCAGGGAAGGUAAACUACUCUGGGAAGCCUGAUAAGUAGAUUGUAUUGGCCCCUUAAAGAGAACACCUGAAGGCUGGAAAUAUAUCCUCACAGGAGUAGAAAUAAUUAGUGGUAUAGGGAAUGUGCACCCCACCCAAGCUGCAACUGGUCUAUCGACUGUAGCUGGCUUAAACAGGUGGUUUGCCACUUUUCCCUUGCCCUGAGAAAUACAAUCUGAUAAUGGAUCACAUUUUAAGAAUAAAGAAGUGCAAACUUGGUGUGCUUCAAAUGGAGUACAAUGGACUUUCCACCUCCCUUAUCGACCUCAAAGCAAUGGAAUAGUAGAAAGGUAGAACGAACGGAUUACUAAAACAACAGCUACACAAGAGUGAAUCUAUGAAUACCUCUAAAUGGGGAUCCCAUUUGUGGAAAGUUGUAAGUCGGCUAAAUAAGCGACAAACUCCCAUGGGAAGUCCCAUAGAUAAGGGAUUCAUGUCAGUAGCUGCAUGAAUUCCUGUUAAAACAGAAGUAAAAUCCUAUCAAAAUCCUAGAGAUGAGGUUGUGGUUAAGCACCUAACUCGGGGAUCAAUCUGGGUGACUCUUUUACAAAGGAAAAGGAGUAUGGGAUGCUGUAGACAGUAAAGGGAGUAAGUUAACCAUAACUGAGGCUUGGAUUAUGUCCAAGACCUAGGUGUCUUCUCUUGCAGGAAAACGUGGUGUUACCUUGUCACCGUGGGAACACUGAUAACUGGAACGGACACCCAAAACCUUUCUCUAAUAGGUUCUGCCUUUUCACAUUGCCCAUAAAACAACUCGGGCAUUGAAGAUAAGUCAUGACCCAUCUUUAGAACUACAGUUACAGGAGAAAUACCAUCUGUAAUAGCACGAGGUCAAAGACUGAUAGUAGGCAAUAAUGUUACACUAACCCUAAGAUCUUUGAUUAAUCUAAAUUUAACUAUUUGUAAUAACACUGGAUGGGAAGCUGUGCAUGAUUUUAACAGUAAAGUAAACUGGGUACUAUGGACAUGCAAGGCAACUAAUCAUACAUUAGUGGCCCACAAGAAGUACACUCUAGGUGUAAACAAUGAGAACAACAUAAUAAUAUAUGGCAACUCUUCUGUAAACACCAGUAAUAACCAAUGGACAAGUCAAUGUAAAUGGACAAAAUUAAAAUACACAAUCAGGAACAAGUGGUAUCUUAUAAAACAUCCCAAACAACCUCUAAACAAAAGUACCCCCAUGUAAUGCAAUUGCAUGAUGGAUGAGAGCCUAUGAUUAUGGCUCCAAAAUUAAUGACAAUGAAUGUACAUUUGAACCUGACCAAUGCAUUAGUGCAUGGAAUAAGACUUGGGCCAAUUAUAGUAACCCUCUCUAUGACUGGUGGCUACAAAAUCAUAGACCAAUAAGACAUAGAACUAAAAGAGAUAUUAUUCAAACUCUGUUAGGUGGGAUUGGUAUGGGAACAGGAAUAUUGAAUUCAUUUGAUAUUGAAACCCAAGCAAAUAAAUUGUCAGUAUUGGGAGAAACCAAAGCUGGUGUAACCGGAAUGACUGCAAGCUGGCUAUCAACAGCUUUACAAACUUCAGUACAAAAUUGGCAAGGUACUUGGCACCUCUGGCAAUACACUAAUGUAUUGCUGUGGUCCCAAUUACUAACUACCAAAAAUAUAUCACAAGAAAUUGGCUCUGCUUUGUCAUGUAUUGUAUUUCAGUUAAUGAGUAUAUACCAAAUCAAUUGGAUUUGAGUAGCCAUUGAAAAUAGUCAAGGACAAACAUUGGAACGAUUGUUCCCUGACCUAGUGAAAGACAAAUUCAAAGGAGGAUGGCUUAGAACUAUUGAAGGCCCUUAUUAUAAUGCAGCUACAGAAGAACUAAUAUUCCAAUUGCUAGGGAUUGGACAGAUUAGGGACACUCACAAAAAUAAUACCUUCAUGCUGCUUUGCUGUCAUUCCUAAAGUCUUUAAUGAAAAUAUGUGGGUACCUACAGUGGCAGGAGAUCGUUUGCAUGGUAAUACUAACGACACUUAUGAAAUUAGUAAACAUUGCACCUACUGGCUAUCCAGUCGAGGAUGGACCUGCCCUACCAUGCCUAGAGCUCCAGAAUUAUGCAGUAUGAAACACUCAUCUGGUACCUGCAUCUGGCAACGUAUCUAUGGAAAGAGAAGAGAGCUGGCCAUUCAUGCAAUGAAUCUGUUAAGCUCACUGUGCAACACCAGUAAUCCUUAAAUGUUGGUCUGAGCCAAGGGGUGGAAUGUGACCGACCAAUAACCCCUACAAUGGAAGAAGGCUCAGAGGAGAAGGCUCAGAGGGCGAGGUGCCCCAUGAAGCUCAGGAAUAGUGUAGGAUAUGGCUUGUUAAUCCUUGCUGUUGCGCAGAAAACUGACUUUAUCUCAACACAAAGGGCACCAGAGGGUGACCUUUGUUUUAGAUAAGCAGCUGUAUCUGAGUGGAUCAACUGGUGUAAACAUUUCUUCCUGAGUUGAUCAGAAGAAUGUGGGUGUCUCCCUGAGAUAGCCAGACCAGCAUGGGGGAAGUGUAUACAUGGCUCAGCCCAACAUAGACUAUAAAACCUGAACAACUACCAAAGGAAUUUCAAAGAGAGCAACGGGCUUGAGCUGGCUUCAACCCGUGUGUUCCUUUGGGGCACCUGGGGACGCCCAGCGUUGUGACGGUGAGCAUGUUAUAGAGACCGGUAAUGGGGAUCACAUUGGUAUUGUGAUUGAACUGUAUAAGUAUACACUUGUGAUUUCAGUAUAUUGCUGUAUCUGUUAAAUCAAAAAUCCUGUGUAACAUUAAAUACCUCAAAGUAAACUUUUAUGUUAAACAUUA